rnacentral:rRNA from 1 species
AUUGAACGCUGGCGGCAGGCCUAACACAUGCAAGUCGAACGAGUGGCGGACGGGUGAGUAAUGUCUGGGAAACUGCCUGAUGGAGGGGGAUAACUACUGGAAACGGUAGCUAAUACCGCAUACCAUCAGAUGUGCCCAGAUGGGAUUAGCUAGUAGGUGGGGUAAAGGCUCACCUAGGCGACGAUCCCUAGCUGGUCUGAGAGGAUGACCAGCCACACUGGAACUGAGACACGGUCCAGACUCCUACGGGAGGCAGCAGUGGGGAAUAUUGGAACAAGGGGGCAAGCCUGAUUGAGCCAUGCCGGGUGGAUGAAGAAGGCCUUCGGGGUGGAAAGGACUUUCAGCGGGGAGGCGGUACCCGCAGAAGAAGCACCGGCUAACUCCGUGCCAGCAGCCGCGGUAAUUC